UACAGAGGGUGCGAGCGUUAAUCGGAUUUACUGGGCGUAAAGGGUGCGUAGGCGGUAGGACACGUGUGAUGUGAAAGCCCCGGGCUUAACCUGGGAAGUGCAUCGCAUACGGUUUUACUGGAGUAGAUGAGAGGGUGGCGGAAUUUCCGGUGUAGCGGUGAAAUGCGUAGAGAUCGGAAGGAACGUCGAUGGCGAAGGCAGCCACCUGGCAUCAUACUGACGCUGAGGCACGAAAGCGUGGGGAGCGAACAGG
rnacentral:rRNA from 1 species